rnacentral:lncRNA from 1 species
UUACCUUAUUUAUCACUAAAAUCUCUCAACAGCGUCGUGAUUUUCUAUAUCUUAUUCCAUUCUCCAUGGCUCCUGAAAUUCGUUCAUCAUCUCUCUCACAAAAUUGAAUCUCCAAACCAUCACUGCAUGUGAAGUAUUCCUCACCUUAAGCAUCAGUUAUGUCAAAAAUUCAGUGGAUUCAAAGGACUGGUCAUCCUUUGUUGAUGCAAAGCUCCAAGCUAUUUGUGAAAACUUGGCUAAUUCGUCGAGGCAAGGAAAGAAUUCAGCAAAGGUCCGUUCUGUUUCUGAUCCAAAGACUGAAAAUUUGAGACGAGUUGGGGAUGAGAUGACAAAAAUGUGUUGUUUCGAAUGAUGUGUUAACUGAAGGAUUUGGGUAUGAUAAUAUCUUGGUCGAGGCCUCCUUAUCAGGCGUUUUUCCG